UUAAAUUGAAGAGUUUGAUCAUGGCUCAGAUUGAACGCUGGCGGCAGGCCUAACACAUGCAAGUCGAACGGUAACAGGAAGCAGCUUGCUGCUUUGCUGACGAGUGGCGGACGGGUGAGUAAUGUCUGGGAAACUGCCUGAUGGAGGGGGAUAACUACUGGAAACGGUAGCUAAUACCGCAUAACGUCGCAAGACCAAAGAGGGGGACCUUCGGGCCUCUUGCCAUCGGAUGUGCCCAGAUGGGAUUAGCUAGUAGGUGGGGUAACGGCUCACCUAGGCGACGAUCCCUAGCUGGUCUGAGAGGAUGACCAGCCACACUGGAACUGAGACACGGUCCAGACUCCUACGGGAGGCAGCAGUGGGGAAUAUUGCACAAUGGGCGCAAGCCUGAUGCAGCCAUGCCGCGUGUAUGAAGAAGGCCUUCGGGUUGUAAAGUACUUUCAGCGGGGAGGAAGGGAGUAAAGUUAAUACCUUUGCUCAUUGACGUUACCCGCAGAAGAAGCACCGGCUAACUCCGUGCCAGCAGCCGCGGUAAUACGGAGGGUGCAAGCGUUAAUCGGAAUUACUGGGCGUAAAGCGCACGCAGGCGGUUUGUUAAGUCAGAUGUGAAAUCCCCGGGCUCAACCUGGGAACUGCAUCUGAUACUGGCAAGCUUGAGUCUCGUAGAGGGGGGUAGAAUUCCAGGUGUAGCGGUGAAAUGCGUAGAGAUCUGGAGGAAUACCGGUGGCGAAGGCGGCCCCCUGGACGAAGACUGACGCUCAGGUGCGAAAGCGUGGGGAGCAAACAGGAUUAGAUACCCUGGUAGUCCACGCCGUAAACGAUGUCGACUUGGAGGUUGUGCCCUUGAGGCGUGGCUUCCGGAGCUAACGCGUUAAGUCGACCGCCUGGGGAGUACGGCCGCAAGGUUAAAACUCAAAUGAAUUGACGGGGGCCCGCACAAGCGGUGGAGCAUGUGGUUUAAUUCGAUGCAACGCGAAGAACCUUACCUGGUCUUGACAUCCACGGAAGUUUUCAGAGAUGAGAAUGUGCCUUCGGGAACCGUGAGACAGGUGCUGCAUGGCUGUCGUCAGCUCGUGUUGUGAAAUGUUGGGUUAAGUCCCGCAACGAGCGCAACCCUUAUCCUUUGUUGCCAGCGGUCCGGCCGGGAACUCAAAGGAGACUGCCAGUGAUAAACUGGAGGAAGGUGGGGAUGACGUCAAGUCAUCAUGGCCCUUACGACCAGGGCUACACACGUGCUACAAUGGCGCAUACAAAGAGAAGCGACCUCGCGAGAGCAAGCGGACCUCAUAAAGUGCGUCGUAGUCCGGAUUGGAGUCUGCAACUCGACUCCAUGAAGUCGGAAUCGCUAGUAAUCGUGGAUCAGAAUGCCACGGUGAAUACGUUCCCGGGCCUUGUACACACCGCCCGUCACACCAUGGGAGUGGGUUGCAAAAGAAGUAGGUAGCUUAACCUUCGGGAGGGCGCUUACCACUUUGUGAUUCAUGACUGGGGUGAAGUCGUAACAAGGUAACCGUAGGGGAACCUGCGGUUGGAUCACCUCCUUA
rnacentral:rRNA from 1 species